GGCGUUCUCGUCGGCAAUGUAGGGGAUCUCCACGGUGCCGUCGACCUUGAGCAGGGACUUCCCGUCGGAGUCCCGGGCCUCGCCCUCCCAGGAGAGGACGACGCUGAUCUCGUAGCCCGGGAUGAUCUUGCCCUUGCGGAUGUUGACGUAGGCCUCGCCGUCGACCUUCUCGACCGUCUUGGUGCGGACGAAGAGGUCGCCCUCGCCGUCGAGGAGGGUGAGGUCGGAGAGGAGCUUGGUGAGGAGGCCGCGGGCCCACUCGAGGCAGUUGGUCUCGGACCAGUGCCAGUUGUGGACGUUGGUGCCGUCGGGCCGCU
rnacentral:lncRNA from 1 species